GACGAACGCUGGCGGCGUGCUUAACACAUGCAAGUCGAACGGAGUUACGUAUGAAGUAUUUCGGUACGGACUAUGUAACUUAGUGGCGAACGGGUGAGUAACACGUGGGCAACCUGCCCUUAACCGGGGGGAUAACAUUGUGAAAACAGUGCUAAUACCGCAUAACAGAGUAUCGGGCAUCCGAUAUUUUUAAAAGGAGCAAUCCGGUUUAGGAUGGGCCCGCGUCCAAUUAGCUAGUUGGUGAGGUAACGGCUCACCAAGGCUACGAUUGGUAGCCGAACUGAGAGGUUGAUCGGCCACAUUGGGACUGAGACACGGCCCAGACUCCUACGGGAGGCAGCAGUGGGGAAUAUUGGGCAAUGGGCGAAAGCCUGACCCAGCGACGCCGCGUGAAGGAUGAAGGUCUUCGGAUUGUAAACUUCUUUGAUCAGGGAAGAAAGAAAUGACGGUACCUGAAGAACAAGCCACGGCUAACUACGUGCCAGCAGCCGCGGUAAGCACGAGAGUA
rnacentral:rRNA from 1 species